rnacentral:misc_RNA from 1 species
CCACCAUCAUCACCCGUCAUCGCCACGAAGCACCGACACCCACGAAUGUAAGAGCGCACAACAACCGAGCGUGCAAGCACGCACGAACAGGUUCAUAGAUGCGCGCACUCAUUUGUGUGCGUGUGCGUGUGCGUCUGCGCUCUGCUGUCUACUCGCAGCUGGAGUGCGACGACCACCACAACGGAAAACAAGGGGAGGGGGAUUGUCUGUCUCUCUGUCUUUUUGCAGAUCAAGAGCGAGCUGUUAUGCGCUCAGAGCCGCAAGCGGCGAAUCGAAUCGGGUGGGAGUCCAAUGCGAAGAGAAAGGCGAUCAGGCGGCGGAGCAGGACUCGAGUCUUCUGCCGAUUCCGUUCAAAACACGAGGGCAGGCAGAACGAGAGAAGGCGCGGCGCGAGUGCGGUCCUCUAUGGCUCUCUGCAUCUUCUCCCCUCUUUUUUUCGCCUGUUCGCGGCUUGGACUCAUUGUCACAGUCAUUCCUGCUACUCGUAACGCAAGCUCUGUCGCCCCCACCCCCUUCCUCCCCAACGCACAGGCAUGUCCGCGAAUGCGCAAAGCAAGCACGCGAUGGUGUUGUGUCCGGAGGACGCGAUGAGAAGUCGAGGGAAGUGGGGGGGGGGGACACGACGGGGCUAGACGGCCCUGACGCACUAGAGUGUGGUGCAGCUUCUCAGCAGAGGACACAGGAAGUGACGGUGAGAAAGGCAGGGAAGAGGAGGGGAAACGGGGCAACCCCGUGUGUGUGUAUAUUGCCUCCAUGCAUUGCUGGGCUGUCCCCGGAGAUUCGCUCAGCCAUCUUUUCCCCUCG